GUCUGGAAUAACCCUGGGAAACUAGGGCUAAUACCGGAUACGCCCUUUUGGGGAAAGGUUUACUGCCGGAAGAUCGGCCCGCGUCUGAUUAGCUAGUUGGUGGGGUAACGGCCUACCAAGGCGACGAUCAGUAGCUGGUCUGAGAGGAUGAUCAGCCACACUGGGACUGAGACACGGCCCAGACUCCUACGGGAGGCAGCAGUGGGGAAUAUUGGACAAUGGGCGCAAGCCUGAUCCAGCCAUGCCGCGUGAGUGAUGAAGGCCUUAGGGUUGUAAAGCUCUUUUAUCCGGGACGAUAAUGACGGUACCGGAGGAAUAAGCCCCGGCUAACUUCGUGCCAGCAGCCGCGGUAAUACGAAGGGGGCUAGCGUUGCUCGGAAUCACUGGGCGUAAAGGGCGCGUAGGCGGCGUUUUAAGUCGGGGGUGAAAGCCUGKGGCUCAACCACAGAAUGGCCUUCGAUACUGGGGACGCUUGAGUAUGGUAGAGGUUGG
rnacentral:rRNA from 1 species